GGUAUUUACAUAAGAGUGGCAUGACACAGUCAUGACACAUGAACGCAAACCCUAACUUGUCAUGACAAAACCGAAUUCCACUUACUAAAAGCAGCGUUAUGUCAUACACGUUUAUGACUUGUGUAAUAUUCAUGACGCAUUCAUGACUGUGUCAUGUCACCUUUAUGUAGCUACCUUCAAGUGAAGUGUAACCGUCAUUUUUUUUUAUGAUUUUAUGACC